GUCUACGGCCAUACCACCCUGAACGCACCCAAUCUUGUCUGAUCUCAGAAGCUAAACAGGAUCAGGCCUGGUUAGUACUUGGAUGGGAGAACUCAGAGAGAUUUUUCUUUGCCCAAGAUU
rnacentral:rRNA from 1 species